rnacentral:tRNA from 1 species
GGGAGCGUGGUGGAAUCGGUAGACACACCAGACUUAAAAUCUGUCGGGAAUUAAUCCUGUGGGGGUUCAAGUCCCCCCGCUCCUA